rnacentral:rRNA from 1 species
AACGAACGCUGGCGGCAUGCCUAACACAUGCAAGUCGAACGAGACCUUCGGGUCUAGUGGCGCACGGGUGCGUAACGCGGGGGAACCUGCCCUUAGGUGCGGAAUAACUCCCCGAAAGGGGUGCUAAUACCGGAUAAUAUCGUCGGACCAAAGAUGUAUUGCCUUUGGAUGGGCCCGCGUUGGCUUAGCUGGUUGGUAGGGUAAAAGCCUACCAAGGCGACGAGACAUAGCUGGUCUGAGAGGAUGAUCCGCAACACUGGGACUGAGACACGGUCCAGACUCCUACGCGAGGGAGCAGUGGGGAAUCUUGGACUGCGGGCUAAAGCCUGAUCCAGUACUGCUGCUUGAGUGCUGAAGGCCUUAGGGUUGUAAAGCUCUCUUACCCGGGAUGAUAAUGACAGUACCGGGAGAAUAAGCUCCGGCUAACUCCGUG